rnacentral:rRNA from 1 species
GACGAACGCUGGCGGCGUGCUUAACACAUGCAAGUCGAGCGGUAAGGCCUUUCGGGGUACACGAGCGGCGAACGGGUGAGUAACACGUGGGUGACCUGCCCUCCACUUCGGGAUAAGCCUGGGAAACUGGGUCUAAUACGGGAUGGGACCAUUCCAUGCAUGUGGGGUGGUGGGAAAGUCGGUGCUGUUGUGGUGCUGGCGGUGGGGAGUGGGCC